ACGCUCGACACCUACGGGAGGCAGCAGUGGGGAAUAUUGCACAAUGGGGGAAACCCUGAUGCAGCGACGCCGCGUGAGCGAAGAAGUAUUUCGGUAUGUAAAGCUCUAUCAGCAGGGAAGAAACUGACGGUACCUGACUAAGAAGCACCGGCUAAAUACGNGCCAGCAGCCGCGGUAAUCUGAGCGGGCUGGCAAGGC
rnacentral:rRNA from 1 species